UCCCCUAAUUACAGGUAUAUCCUAUAUACCAUAAGAAAGCUUAUAAAAUGAAGAACACAAGCUAUAUAGUGAAUAUAGUGCACAGAUUCGGUUUAAGGGGUAUCGAGGCGCCCGAAAAUAAAAAACGGCCAAAAUUAAGAACAAUUACUUCCAACGGACGUUACGAUCGAGUUCUGAACCCUUGAAUCCCCUAAUUACAGGUUAUCCAAUAUACCAUAAGAAAGCUUAUAAAAUAAGGAGCACAAGCUUUAUAGUGAAUAUAGUGCACAGAUUCGGUUUAAGGGGUAUCGAGGCGCUCGAAAAUAAAAAACAGUCAAAAUCAAGAAAAAAUACUUCCAAAGGACGUUACGAUCGAGUUUUGAACCCUCGAAUCCCCUAAUUACAGGUGUAUCCUAUAUACCAUAAGAAAGCUUAUAAAAUAAGGAACACAAGCUUCAUAGUGAAUAAAGUGCACAGAUUCGGUUUAAGGGGUAUCGAUGCGCCCGAAAAUAAAAAACGGCAAAAAUUAAGAAAAAUUACUUCCAAAGGACGUUGCGAUCAAGUUUUGAACCCUCGAAUCCCCUAAUUGCAGGUAUAUCCUAUAUACCAUAAGAAAGCUUAUAUAAUAAGGAACACAAGCUAUAUAUAGUGAAUAUAGUGCACAGAUUCGGUUUAAGGUGGUACCCAACACUUUCACUAAAAUUAAUUUGGCUCGUUUAAUUUUCAUAACAUUUUGACAAUGUAUUUACUUUAACCCUUUAACAAAAAUACAAAAAAAAAAAAAGAAAAAUUGAAACAAGCAUUUUAUCAGAAAAAUUACACUGGUUAUAUAGCAGUUUGACAAACACUAAUUUUGAUCAUUGAGAAGCUUUAUAUUGCCUUCACAACGCAACGUAAUUAAAACGUUUAGCUGAUAUUACAGAGUUAUCUCCCUGUAGUGUUAGGUACCACCUUAAGGAGUAUUGGGGCGCCCGAAAAUAAAAAACGGCCAAAAUCAAGAAAAAUUACUUCAAAGGACGUGACGAUCGAGUUUUGAACCCUCGAAUCCCCUAAUUACAGGUAUAUCCUAUACAUACCAUAAGAAAGCUUAUAAAAUAAGGAACACAAGCUAUAUAGUGAAUAUAGUGCACAUAUUCGGUUUAAGGGGUAUCGAGGCGCCCGAAAAUAAAAAAGCAACAAAAUCAAGAAAAAAUACUUCCAAAGGACGUUGCGAUCGAGUUUUGAACCCUCGAAUCCCCUAAUAACAGGUAUAUCCUAUAUACCAUAAGAAAGCUUAUAAAAUAAGGAACACAAGCUUAAUAGUGAAUAUAGUGCACAGAUUCGGUUUAAGGGGUAUCGAGGCGCCCGAAAAUAAAAAACAGUCAAAAUCAAGAAAAAAUACUUCCAAAGGACGUUACGAUCGAGUUUUGAACUCUCGAAUCCCCUAAUUACAGGUAUAUCCUAUAUACCAUAAGAAAGCUUUUAAAAUGAAGAACACAAGCUAUAUAGUGAAUAUAGUGCACAGAUUCGGUUUAAGGGGUAUCGAGGCGCCCGAAAAUAAAAACGGCCAAAAUUAAGAAAAAAUACUUCCAACGGACGUUACGAUCGAGUUCUGAACCCUUGAAUCCCCUAUUUACAGGUUAUCCUAUAUACCAUAAGAAAGCUUAUAAAAUAAGGAAC
rnacentral:lncRNA from 1 species